rnacentral:tRNA from 1 species
GCGGAAUUAGUACAAUGGCAGUACACUAGCUUCCCAAGCUAGGGACGCGAGUUCGAUUCUCGUAUUCCGCU